GCCUGGGUGGCUCACUCGGUUGAGCAUCCGACUUUGGCUCAGGUCAUGAUCUCACGGGUCGUGAGUUCGAGCCUCGUGUCAGGCU
rfam:Felis catus isolate Cinnamon breed Abyssinian chromosome X, whole genome shotgun sequence.